GCAAGAGACAGGUAUGUGAGGUAGAGGUUACUCUGGGAGGCCAUAAGCUUUCCUAAAAAGAUGGAUUUUAAGGCACUUCUUAAAUGAGUGAAGACUAGGGGAGAGUCUGAUGGUGGUAGGCAGGCUAUUCCAUAGGUAGGGAGCCGCCCACGAGAAGUCCUGCAAGCGUGAGUUGGCCAUACGGGUGCGAGCAGCAGACAGGAGACGGUCACGGGCAGAGCGGAGAGACCGAGAAGGGACAUACCUAUGGAUCUGUGAUGAGAUAUAAGAGAGGCUGGAAU